AUACUAACCUGGCCCGGGAGAGACCAUGGCCAUGAGGGUGGUUUUCCAGGGCAAGCCUUCUCCACUGUGUUCAAGAUAUAUUGACCUCUGUGAUUUCCCCAAAUGAGGGGAACUUGACCGAUACUUUUGUGGUAGUGGGAAAUUACACUUGCACUCUCCCC
ensembl:snRNA LOC120095773 U1 spliceosomal RNA